CAUGUCUUUUUGGGUAUGAUUUAAAGUCUGGCCUGCCCGUUGAUGUUAUUAAAUGGCUGCGGUAUCUUGACCGUACUAAGGUAGCAUAAUAAUUAGUCUCUUGAUUGGGGACUGGAAUGAAUGGCUGAACGAGAAAGUGACUGUCUCUAUAUUGAGAAUAGAAUUUAAUUUUUGAGUUAGAAAGCUCAAAUGUUUAUAAAAGACGAGAAGACCCUAUAGAGUUUAACAGAAUGAGUAAUUAGAUUUGUUGGUAAUUGUAAGUUUAAUAUUGAAUUUUGUUUGGUUGGGGUGACAUUAAGAUUGAUUUAACUCUUUUUUAUUUUUUACACUGAUUUGUGAUUGAUUGAUCCAGCUAAUGUUGAUUAAAAGAAUAAAUUACCUUAGGGAUAACAGCGUAAUCUUUUUAGAGAGUUCUUAUCGAAAUAAAGGGUUGCGACCUCGAUGUUGGAUUAAAGUUUAUUUUUGGCGUAAAGGCUAAAAUAUUGAGUCUGUUCGACUUUUAAAAUUUUACAUGAUCUGAGU
rnacentral:rRNA from 1 species